rnacentral:tRNA from 1 species
GGGCAUGGCUAGUGAAGCGUCACUGCCGGAAGCGGGACAAGCCUUGCAAGCAAUUCAGCCAUCCGCUCCGGGUUCGAUUCCCGGAUGCCCACCA